rnacentral:ncRNA from 1 species
ACAAAAGCAGAUAGAGGAAUAGUAAGUUUCUUUGAAAGUUGUAGAGAGUGCAUGGUUGGUGAAAAUGCAUCAAUUCGAUAAACUGAACUCGCCUUUUUAGCCGAACUCUGAAGGAUUAGUAAGAGUUUCCGCUUCGCCAGCGUUACAGGUAAGAAGAGUAAAAUGUUUAGGUGGUAACACGUAUUGCGUCCUAUCU